rnacentral:rRNA from 1 species
UACGUAGGGUGCAAGCGUUGUCCGGAAUUAUUGGGCGUAAAGAGCUCGUAGGCGGUCUGUCGCGUCGGCUGUGAAAACCCGGGGCUCAACCCCGGGCCUGCAGUCGAUACGGGCAGACUAGAGUGCGGUAGGGGAGACUGGAAUUCCUGGUGUAGCGGUGAAAUGCGCAGAUAUCAGGAGGAACACCGGUGGCGAAGGCGGGUCUCUGGGCCGUAACUGACGCUGAGCAGCGAAAGCGUGGGGAGCGAACAGG